CAUUCUAGACCCCAAAGUGGCACUCACGGGUCACUUGAACAGAGAGUUUCCUGCAAGAUUUCAUGAUGGGCUGUGCCCCUAGGCCACCAGAAUGUGAAAUGUAAUGGCCUCCAUUUCAACUGAGUGAGUCAAACAAAGAAGGAAUCUUGCACUCAAUUGCUCUUCAUAAGAUCCCAUGCUACAAACAGUAGAGAAAAAAAUCCCCUGGGAAUAGUCUGUCUAUUCCUCCAUAAAUUUAGUAUCCAAUCAGG
rnacentral:lncRNA from 10 species